rnacentral:rRNA from 1 species
AGCUAAGUCUUAACCGUUAUCCGGUAAGAUGACAGUUUCAGGCGGGCAGUUUGACUGGGGCAGUCACCUCCCAAAAGGUAAUGGAGGUGUGCAAAGGUUCCCUCAGGCUGGACGGAAAUCAGCCAUAGAGUGUAAAAGCAAAAGGGAGCUUGACUGCGAGACUGACAUGUCAAGCAGAGACGAAAGUCGGCUUUAG